UGCAAGUCGACGAAGAUACGACUUCGGUCGUUGACAGUGGCGGACGGGUGAGUAACGCGUAGGAAUCUACCUAGUAGUGGGGAACAACUUGGGGAAACCCGAGCUAAUACCGCAUACGACCUAAGGGUGAAAGCGGGGGAUUUUCGAACCUCGCGCUAUUAGAGGAGCCUGCGUUGGAUUAGCUUGUUGGUGGGGUAACGGCCUACCAAGGCGACGAUCCAUAGCUGGUCUGAGAGGAUGAUCAGCCACACUGGAACUGAGACACGGUCCAGACUUCUACGGAAGGCAGCAGUAAAGAAUAUUGCGCAAUGGGCGAAAGCCUGACGCAGCCAUGCCGCGUGUGUGAAGAAGGCCUUUGGGUUGUAAAGCACUUUCAGUAGUGAUGAAAAUUAUGAUGCUAAUACCAUCAUGCCCUGACAUUAGCUACAGAAGAAGCACCGGCUAACUCCGUGCCAGCAGCCGCGGUAAUACGGGGGGUGCGAACGUUAAUCGGAAUUACUGGGCGUAAAGCGCGCGUAGGCGGUCUGAUAAGUGGGAUGUGAAAGCCCUGGGCUUAACCUGGGAACUGCAUUUCAAACUGUCAGACUAGAGUGUAGUAGGGGAAGGUGGAAUUUCCUGUGGAGCGGUGGAAUGCGUAGAUAUAGGAAGGAACACCAGUGGCGAAGGCGACCUUCUGGACUAACACUGACGCUGAGGUGCGAAAGCGUGGGGAGCGAACAGCGAUUAAUACCCUGGUAGUCCACGCCGUAAACGAUGAGAACUAGCCGUCGGGUCCUUCGGGACUAGGUGGCGCACUAACGC
rnacentral:rRNA from 1 species